rnacentral:rRNA from 1 species
UACAGAGGCCCCGAGCAUUAUCCGGAUUUACUGGGCGUAAAGGGUGUGUAGGUGGUGUGAUUAGUCUCUCGUCAAAACCCAGAGCUUAACUCUGGGCUCGCGAGGGAAACGGUCAUACUCGAGGAUGCGAGAGGUAUGCGGGACUCAAGGUGUAGGGGUGAAAUCCGUUGAUAUCUUGGGGAACACCAAAUGCGAAGGCAGCAUACUGGCGCACUCCUGACACUGAAACACGAAAGCGUGGGUAGCGAACGGG